GAUGAACGCUGGCGGCAUGCCUAACACAUGCAAGUUGAACGAGAAGUUCCGGAACAAGUCUUCGGACAAGGGAAGGGACGGGAAGUAGCGAACGGGUGAGUAACGCGUGGGCAACCAACCUUACACAGGGGGAUAACGCAGAGAAAUUUGCGCUAAUACCGCAUAAGCGCACAGGAUCACAUGAUCCGGUGUGAAAAACUCCGGUGGUGUAAGACGGGCCCGCGUCUGAUUAGCUAGUUGGUGAGGUAAAGGCUCACCAAGGCGACGAUCAGUAGCCGACCUGAGAGGGUGAUCGGCCACAUUGGGACUGAGACACGGCCCAAACUCCUACGGGAGGCAGCAGUGGGGGAUAUUGCACAAUGGAGGGAACUCUGAUGCAGCAAUGCCCGCGUGAAGGAAGAAAGGUUUUUCGGAUUGUAA
rnacentral:rRNA from 1 species